GCGCACCAGUCGCGAAAACUCCGCAAUGUGGGAAACCACGACGGGGGAACUCCAAGUGCGUACGCUUUGCGUACGCUGUUCCCUUGUCUAAAAAACAAGGGAAGUAAGGGGCGGGUAAGACGGGUGCCAGCCGCCGCGGUAAUACCCGCGCCCCGAGUGGUGCUCCUUAUUAUUGAGUCUAAAACGUCCGUAGCCGGCCUGGUAGAUGCCUGGGUAAAUCGGAUCGCUUAACGAUUCGAAAUCCGGGUAGACCGCCAGACUAGGGACCGGGAGAGGUGCGAGGUACGCGUGGGGUAGGGGUAAAAUCCUAUAAUCCCGGGAAGACCACCAGUGGCGUAGGCGGUCGGCUAGCACGCGCUCGACAGUGAGGGACGAAAGCUGGGGGAGCGAACGGGAUUAGAUAUGAAGUUGAGUUUUUGCCAGCUUCACUAGAAACCCCGGUAGUCC
rnacentral:rRNA from 1 species